rnacentral:rRNA from 1 species
AGUGAACGCUGGCGGUAGGCCUAACACAUGCAAGUCGAACGGCAGCACAGUAAGAGCUUGCUCUUACGGGUGGCGAGUGGCGGACGGGUGAGGAAUACAUCGGAAUCUACUUUUUCGUGGGGGAUAACGUAGGAAAGCUUACGCUAAUACCGCAUACGACCUACGGGUGAAAGCAGGGGAUCUUCGGACCUUGCGCGAUUGAAUGAGCCGAUGUCGGAUUAGCUAGUUGGCGGGGUAAAGGCCCACCAAGGCGACGAUCCGUAGCUGGUCUGAGAGGAUGAUCAGCCACACUGGAACUGAGACACGGUCCAGACUCCUACGGGAGGCAGCAGUGGGGAAUAUUGGACAAUGGGCGCAAGCCUGAUCCAGCCAUACCGCGUGGGUGAAGAAGGCCUUCGGGUUGUAAAGCCCUUUUGUUGGGAAAGAAAAGCAGCAGGUUAAUACCCCGCUGUUCUGACGGUACCCAAAGAAUAAGCACCGGCUAACUUCGUG